rnacentral:rRNA from 1 species
AGAGUUUGAUCAUGGCUCAGAUUGAACGCUGGCGGCAUGCCUUACACAUGCAAGUCGAACGCGAAAGGGGGCAACCCCGAGUAGAGUGGCGAACGGGUGAGCAAUACAUCGGAACGUGUCCUGUAGCGGGGGACAACACAUCGAAAGAUGUGCUAAUACCGCAUACGAUCUACGGAUGAAAGUGGGGGACCGCAAGGCCCCACACUAUAGGAGCGGCCGAUGCCGGAUUAGCUUGUUGGCGGGGUAAAAGCCCACCAAGGCGACGAUCCGUAGCUGGUUUGAGAGAACGACCAGCCACACUGGGACUGAGACACGGCCCAGACUCCUACGGGAGGCAGCAGUGGGGAAUUUUGGACAAUGGGCGAAAGCCUGAUCCAGCCAUGCCGCGUGAGUGAAGAAGGCCUUCGGGUUGUAAAGCUCUUUCGGCCGGGACGAAAUGGCGCGGGGUAAUAUCCCGCGUCGAUGACGGUACCGGAAGAAGAAGGACCGGCUAACUACGUGCCAGCAGCCGCGGUAAUACGUAGGGUCCAAGCGUUAAUCGGAAUUACUGGGCGUAAAGCGUGCGUAGGCGGUUUCGAAAGUCCGAUGUGAAAUCCCCGGGCUUAACCUGGGAACUGCGUUGGAAACUACGAGGCUAGAGUGCGGCAGAGGGGGGUGGAAUUCCAGGUGUAGCAGUGAAAUGCGUAGAGAUCUGGAGGAACACCGAUGGCGAAGGCAGCCCCCUGGGUUAGCACUGACGCUGAUACACGAAAGCGUGGGGAGCAAACAGGAUUAGAUACCCCUGUAGUCC